CCGGAAUUAUUGGGCGUAAAGCGUUUGUAGGCGGGCGAGUGUGUUUAAUGUUAAAUCUUAAAGCUCAACUUUGAAAUUGCGUUAAAAACUGCUUGUCUUGAGUAUGGUAGGGGUAAAGGGAAUUCCCAGUGUAGCGGUGAAAUGCGUAGAUAUUGGGAAGAACACUAAACAGCGAAGGCACUUUACUAGGCUAAUACUGACGCUGAGAAACGAAAGGUAAGGUAGCGAAACGGAUUAGAUACCCGUGUAGUCUUACCCGUAAACUAUGGACACUAAACGGUAAAUUUUUAAUUUACUGUUAAAGCUAACGCGUUAAGUGUCCCGCCUGGGGAGUAUGCUUGCAAAAGUGAAACUCAAAGGAAUUGACGGGGGCCCGCACAAGCGGUGGAGCAUGUGGUUUAAUUCGACGGUACACGAAGAACCUUACCAGGAUUUGACAUGCUAGAUAGUUGCUUGAAAGAGUAACGUGCCGUAAGGAAUCUAGACACAGGUGGUGCAUGGCUGUCGUCAGUUCGUGUUGUGAAAUGUUGGGUUAAGUCCCGCAACGAACGCAACCCUUGUCUUUAGUUAUUUUCUAAAGAGACUGCCUGUAAUAAACAGGAGGAAGGUAAGGAUGAGGUCAAGUCAUCAUGCCCCUUAUGUCCUGGGCUACACACGUGCUACAAUGGGAAAGACAAUGAGCUGCAAAUCUGUAAAUUUAAGCAAAUCUCUUAAACUUUCUCGUAGUUCGGAUUGUGGGCUGCAACUCGCCCACAUGAAGUUGGAAUCGCUAGUAAUCGCCAGUCAGCUAUAUGGCGGUGAAUCCGUUCCCGGGCCU
rnacentral:rRNA from 1 species